rnacentral:rRNA from 1 species
AACGAACGCUGGCGGCGUGCCUAACACAUGCAAGUCGAGCGAGAAAAGGGGGGCAACUCCCUGAGUACAGCGGCGCACGGGUGAGUAACACGCAGGUAACCUGCCCUCGAGCUCGGAAUAACCUACCGAAAGGUGGGCUAAUACCGGAUAUGACCACGGGAGUUUCGGCUCCUGCGGUGAAAGGUGGCCUCUACCUGUAAGCUACCACUCAAGGAUGGGCCUGCGUGCCAUUAGCUAGUUGGUAAGGUAACGGCUCACCAAGGCUAUGAUGGCUAGCUGGUCUGAGAGGAGGGCCAGCCACACUGGGACUGAAACACGGCCCAGACUCCUACGGGAGGCAGCAGUAAGGAAUAUUGCUCAAU